CUUUCCAGCUCUUCUUUAGAUAUUGUUUUUUAAACACCUGGCUGCUAGUAAUUUCUAUAGGCUUCCAUCAAUGGCAGGUCAUGAAGGAAGGCCUAUCCAAUUGUUAAACUUGAAUUAAAUAUAUCCAAGGUAGGAGGCCUAGAAGCAGUUGAUACCCACAUCUCUGCAUGUGCAAGCCUGGAUGUGUAUUUGGGACAAGAUGUUGUGGAGAAGAGUCAGCUGGCCUAUGUGAUCUGCUGGUACGCAGCCCAAGUCCAAGUGGCCACUCUAUACCUUGAGCACAAAGGAAGAAGAGAGAGUGAACUUCAGGCAGGAAGAAGCAAUAAUGUGUGCGAAGUGGGGGCAGAAGGAAGGGUCCUCCCACUCAACUGAAGAAGUAAGUUAAGAUCUGUCCUUCUAGCCCCCAGUGGGCUGUGUGAAGCAUAAGGAGACAAAUGUAGGAGAGAAAUGAUGGGACAUAAAUACUGUGAACAAUUCUUCCCAGCCAAAGUUCUUGAGACUUAAUUGAUGCAAAACAAGAAUAAUAUGCCUGUAUUAUCUCACAGGUCCUCUGCUUAGUGUCUUGCAAGACACUAAUCAUGAGGUCAACCAGCCUGUGUUCUCAUCUGCAAGCUCAGUGGAAAAGAACCCACUUCCAAACUCAGACUGUCAUCAGUUUUCACUGCCUUAUGGUUGUAAAACUUGAGGCCCUUGCUUCUCUUAUUGGCUGAUGUCUGCUGGCCCCACAGACCCUAGAGGUUAUCCACAGUUCCCACAUGGGCUUUACCAACAUGGCUACUUCAUCAAGUCAGCAAAGAAAGUCUCUAGAGUGAGUCUACUAGCAAGAUGGAGUCUUCUAUAAUGUAAUGUAAUCACAGGACUGAUAUUGCAUCCCUUUGCCAUAUUCUAUUUGGUAUAAGCAAUCACAAGUUCCACCUAUACACUAGGGGAGGAGAAAGUACGAAACACAGGGGGUCACCCUCAAGUCCAUCAGCCCCAAAUACCAAAAGCAAAGGGCCCCGUCCUUGUCUGAGUCUCUGUGGAAAUACUGUCUUGCAGAGUAUUGCCCUUACCCCCACACCCAGCAUGUAGUAGCCAUAUCACAGCAAAAACAUGAUUAGGCUGAGAGAGGCCUAAGCCGGUCUCCUAAAAUCUCCUUCUUAGACGGAAAGUAUUCAGAAGUUCCUGGAUGCUCUAGAGAAGGAACUGGAAAGUAAUGGACUUGCUGGAUAGUCAGUUUACCAGAGGGGUCAUCAAGGUAGAGCAAAAUGACCCUGCAGUCACGGGCAGUCCAGGCCAGUAAGCAUGUGGGAGUCAUAGCCAGACUUCAGAAGGCUACAUAGCAACAGCUGGGUCAAAAGAGAGGCCCACCAGGCUAUCACCAAACUGAGAG
rnacentral:lncRNA from 1 species